UAUCUCUGUAGAGUCUGCAUAUCAAUAAGCGGAGGAAAAGAAACUAACUAGGAUUCCCUCAGUAACGGCGAGUGAAGCGGGAAGAGCUCAAAUUUGAAAUCCUCAAGGUUUUACCUUGACGAAUUGUAGUUUAAAGAAGUGUUUUCUGUUGGAGUUUUGGUAAAAGUUCUUUGGAAAUAGGACAUCAUAGAGGGUGAGAAUCCCGUAUUUGACCAUUAUUUCCAGCUGUGUGAUACACUUUCAAAGAGUCGGAUUGCUUGGGAAUGCAGUCCAAAAUGGGUGGUAAAUUUCAUCUAAAGCUAAAUACUUGGCGAGAGACCGAUAGCGAACAAGUACCGUGAGGGAAAGAUGAAAAGAACUUUGAAAAGAGAGUUAAACAGUACGUGAAAUUGUCAAAAGGGAAGCGUUUGACACCAGUGUUGUUUUCUCGAAAAUCAAUUAAAAAGAUGGGAUUUUGUGUUGUAUUGACUUUAUCAGCUUUCUGCACUUUUUUCCUUGUCUUUUUUAAUGCACUUUUCGUUUAACAAGUCAACAUCAAUUUCUUUUGUUGUAAAAGAGUCAUUGGAAGGUGGCUUUCUUUUCGGAGAAAGUGUUUAUAGCCUUUGGCUUCUGCAAUCGGAGAGAUUGAGGUCUGCAGCGUAGAUCCUUCGGGGUUAGAUAGCAUUUGUGCUAAGUUAUAGCCUUUCAUAGACAACUUGUUGACUAUGAUCAGUCAUGUAGCUUACUCGCUUAUGCUAUUUUACCUACGCUUAGGAUGUUGAGUAGCGACAUACGCAC
rnacentral:rRNA from 1 species